ACGGGAGGCAGCAGUGGGGAAUAUUGGACAAUGGGCGAAAGCCUGAUGCAGCGACGCCGCGUGAACGAAGAAGGAUUUCGGUAUGUAAAGUUCUAUCAGCAGGGAAGAAGAAUGACGGUACCGGACUAAGAAGCACCGGCUAAAUACGUGCCAGCAGCCGCGGUAAUACGAAUGGUGCAAGCGUUAUCCGGAUUUACUGGGUGUAAAGGGAGCGCAGGCGGUAUGGCAAGUCUGAUGUGAAAGCCCGGGGCUCAACCCCGGUACUGCAUUGGAAACUACCAGACUAGAGUGUCGGAGAGGUAAGUGGAAUUCCUAGUGUAGCGGUGAAAUGCGUAGAUAUUAGGAGGAACACCAGUGGCGAAGGCGGCUUACUGGACGAUAACUGACGCUGAGGCUCGAAAGCGUGGGGAGCAAACAGGAUUAGAUACCCUGGUA
rnacentral:rRNA from 1 species